AACGAACGCUGGCGGCAUGCCUAACACAUGCAAGUCGAACGAGACCUUCGGGUCUAUUGGCGCACGGGUGCGUAACGCGUGGGAACCUGCCCUUAGGUUCGGAAUAACUCCCCGAAAUGGGUGCUAAUACCGGAUAAUUUCUUCGGACCAAAGAUUUAUCGCCUUUGGAUGGGCCCGCGUUGGAUUAGCUAGUUGGUAGGGUAAAAGCCUACCAAGGCGACGAUACAUAGCUGGUCUGAGAGGAUGAUCAGCCACACUGGGACUGAGACACGGCCCAGAAUACUACGGGAGGCAGCAGUGGGGAAUAUUGGAAAAUGGGCGAAAGCAUGAUACAGCAAUGCCGCGUGAGUGAUGAAGGCCUUAGGGUUGUAAAGCUCUUUUACCCGGGAUGAUAAUGACAGUACCGGGAGAAUAAGCUCCGGCUAACUCCGUG
rnacentral:rRNA from 1 species